rnacentral:lncRNA from 1 species
UUCCACGCUUAAGAGCCUUUUAAGAGAACCACCACAGAGGCUUCACGCCUUAGCUGUUGUGCAGACGCAGCCAAGCUUGAUCAUGAGAAGAAAGUACGAUGAUCAUCAUCUCAGCCCUGAGGAAUCCUUAUACUACAAUGAAAAUGUUGUGUGUGCCGACACUUUUCGUCUGUGUGCAUUGACGAAAGGUCAGUCAAGUAACUUAAGGUGGCAUCAGGAAAGGCGCUUCCGCAUUAACUGCUCCACUGCACACACAAUUCUCAGAAGUAGGAAGAGCCCCCAGGAAUUGGUUCGCACUCUCCUCUAUGGACCUAAAUUUUUUUCGACAGCCAUGGCACAUGGUACAAAAAUGGAACCAAUAGCGAGGAAAGCGUUUGAAAACAAGCUCAGCACAAAAGUCUAUGAGGUAAUGAUAAUUUCAAAAACCACAGGCUGCUGUCACCUGUGCACAUGGGCAAUUCUUUUCAUGUGAAGAAAAUAUGCUGCAAAUCUUAUGCUAAAAAAGAAUGCUACAUUUCAGGCAGGACUUCUGGUUCAUCCUAGUCAGCCCUGGCUGUCAGGAAGUCCAGACGGUCUCUUCUCAACAGGUGAAGACACUUGUCUUCUUGAGAUAAAGUGCCCUUAUGCGAGGAGGGACGAAGAGAUCAUCAACCACCAAGAAGAAAAGUGUUUUGUGCCUUACCUGAAGUACAUAAAUGGAAGGCUUACCUUGUCAAAAACACACAGAUACUACACACAGGUGCAGCUACUAAUGUUCAUAUGUAAUGUCCAAGAGUGUUUUUUUUUUGUGUACACACAGAAGCAGAACAUCAUUGUGUGCGUGCAGAGGGAUGACGGCUUUCUCUCCGAGGCAGUUGGCGCCCUUGAAGAUUUCUAUUUUGC